rnacentral:rRNA from 1 species
AGGACGAACGCUGGCGGCGUGCUUAACACAUGCAAGUCGAGCGGAAAGGCCCUUCGGGGUACUCGAGCGGCGAACGGGUGAGUAACACGUGAGUAACCUGCCCUAGACUUUGGGAUAACCCUCGGAAACGGGGGCUAAUACCGGAUAUGACGACUCACCGCAUGGUGUGGUUGUGGAAAGUUUUUCGGUUUGGGAUGGGCUCGCGGACUAUCAGCUUGUUGGUGGGGUGAUGGCCUACCAAGGCGACGACGGUUAGCCGGCCUGAGAGGGCGACCGGGCCACGACGUGGGACUGGAGACACGGCCCAGACUCCUACGGGAGGCAGCAGUGGGGAAUAUUGCACAAGUGGGCGAAGCCUGAUGGCAGCGACGCCGCGUGAGGGAUGGACGCCGUUCGGUGUAAACCCUCUUACUAGCGAGGGACGAACGGCGAGAGGUAGACCGUACCGUAGCAAGGAAGAAGACGCCCGGCAACCGUACGUAGCC